UGUGACUAAGGACAAGGAUUGAGGGUUGCCCUACUCGGGCGAAACAAAGGCCAAGUGCACAUGCACAAGGCGAUGUCAAGCUUGAGGAUAGGACUGUGCACGCUAUAGCGAUGCCCAGGUCCAGGCGAGGGACGAGUAUGUCCGUAGCCAUCCCCGGGAACGCAUAUGGAUGAUAUCCAAGGAUUAAAGGUGCGCCAUAAGAGUUGCUUAUACGUUGG
rnacentral:lncRNA from 1 species